rnacentral:rRNA from 1 species
UACGAAGGGGGCUAGCGUUGCUCGGAAUUACUGGGCGUAAAGGGCGCGUAGGCGGAUAGUUUAGUCAGAGGUAAAAGCCCAGGGCUCAACCUUGGAACUGCCUUUGAUACUGGCUAUCUUGAGUACGGAGAGGUGUGUGGAACUCCGAGUGUAGAGGUGAAAUUCGUAGAUAUUCGGAAGAACACCAGUGGCGAAGGCGACACACUGGCCCGUUACUGACGCUGAGGCGCGAAAGCGUGGGAGCAACAGG